rnacentral:rRNA from 1 species
AGUGAACGCUGGCGGUAGGCCUAACACAUGCAAGUCGAACGGCAGCACAGUAAGAGCUUGCUCUUACGGGUGGCGAGUGGCGGACGGGUGAGGAAUACAUCGGAAUCUACUUUUUCGUGGGGGAUAACGUAGGGAAACUUACGCUAAUACCGCAUACGACCUACGGGUGAAAGCAGGGGAUCUUCGGACCUUGCGCGAUUGAAUGAGCCGAUGUCGGAUUAGCUAGUUGGCGGGGUAAAGGCCCACCAAGGCGACGAUCCGUAGCUGGUCUGAGAGGAUGAUCAGCCACACUGGAACUGAGACACGGUCCAGACUCCUACGGGAGGCAGCAGUGGGGAAUAUUGGACAAUGGGCGCAAGCCUGAACCAGCCAUACCGCGUGGGUGAAGAAGGCCUUCGGGCUGUAAAGCCCUUUUGUUGGGAAAGAAAAGCAGCAGGUUAAUACCCCGCUGUUCUGACGGUACCCAAAGGAUAAGCACCGGCUAACUUCGUG